rnacentral:rRNA from 1 species
AACGAACGCUGGCGGCAGGCUUAACACAUGCAAGUCGAACGCCCCGCAAGGGGAGUGGCAGACGGGUGAGUAACGCGUGGGAACGUGCCCUAAGGUACGGAACAACUCCGGGAAACUGGAGCUAAUACCGUAUGUGACCGAGAGGUGAAAGAUUUAUCGCCUUAGGAUCGGCCCGCGUCAGAUUAGCUAGUUGGUGGGGUAAUGGCCUACCAAGGCGACGAUCUGUAGCUGUUCUGAGAGGAAGAUCAGCCACACUGGGACUGAGACACGGCCCAGACUCCUACGGGAGGCAGCAGUGGGGAAUCUUGGACAAUGGGCGCAAGCCUGAUCCAGCCAUGCCGCGUGGAUGAUGAAGGCCCUAGGGUUGUAAAAUCCUUUCGCCGAGGACGAUAAUGACGGUACUCGGAGAAGAAGCUCCGGCUAACUUCGUGCCAGCAGCCGCCGUAA